AACGCAUGCUGAGGACAUUUCCUUAGGAAAUCCUUGAACCUGUUCCAUGUCUCAAAAAGAGACUCCAAUUCCGUUUGCACAAAAGAGGACAUUUUAUUCCUGACCUU